rnacentral:antisense_RNA from 1 species
AGCCACCCUCGCCCCCGCCAAAACAAACAGACAAAAAACUGUCAUUCUCAUAUGACCACGGACUCUGCGCCCCGGCCGCAGGCGGAGGACAGGGAGGAGCGCACACGAGAAAGCUCCCACGCGCCCGCGCCUCGCCUCCGACGGGAAGGCGCCUCUUCCGACCGUCCUGGAUGCAAAUUAAAUACUUCCCUCCGCAGAAGACUUAUCUCGGGGUAGGGCCGCAGCCGGAUUUCCAAAUCGCGGGUUUGAUUUUCGCUGCGUCCUCUCCGCGACGCGCGCAGGGAGCGCGCCCGGCCACCUGCAGCCUCUGGCUGCGGCCAUCUUUCCGCCUGGGGCCACCUGGCCUGCGCCCUUUGUGCCCGGCCUGCUCCGUGACUGUUCUUCUUGCCGCUACUUACAGAACUCAGCCGCCUUAGCGUCUUAGAGAAGAGGACGGCAUGCACGCGGACCCCGUCCACCACACCUGGAGAGCAGGGAGCCCUUAGUCCCUGGACACUUACCAGGGCCGCCACCCCUGGUCCACGCACGUGAUGACAUCUCACCAGGGGCAGCACACCGCCAGAGUCCGCGACACUGAUAACACCUCCUGCGGGCAGGAGGGCGCCACAGCCACCCCUGGUCCCCUAGAUUGUGUGAGGCUGGCAUUUCUGCCCGCCUCUUGGCGUGGACAGCACGCUGGACCGAGAUGGAACCACAGCUUUCUCUUCCCAAUCCCUGGCCUCACCGUUUUGUUUCAUACCUCACCGUUUGUUUCAAACCUCGUGCUGUUGAAAUGAUUAAAUGAGAUAAGGGGUGUGGUAGUGUUGGGCAAACCACAAGAAAGCGGUCUGGGUGGGGUCUGGCCCUAAAAUCCUCCUCCCCCACCUCCCAGGCUUCCUUGCCUUGCUGCUUCCUCUCAGCCUUUAAACAGGCUGGCCUCUCCAAGUCCUAAAAACAAAAUUAUCAAGCCAACCUCCUCCUGAAGUGCCCCCUCCAACUAGCUUCCAAGUGUUUCAUGCGGACCUCAAACAAUGGCCUUCCCUGGCUGCCUCUGCUUCCUCAUUUCUCAACACUUGGCAUUCUGGCUUCUCCUCCCCAACUCUAACCCUUCACCUUGCUCAGGCAAGAGUAACUCAUGACUUUCAUUUUGCCAAACCUUGCAGGCAUUCCUCAGGCCUUAUCUCUCUGGUUCUUUCUGCUACAUUUGACACCUUGGGAUGACUCUCACCUUCUGGAAUCUCUCUACUACCUUGGUUUCAGAAGAGUGAACCCUCUCGAUUAUCACAUGAAGCUACUUCCUGUGAGCAGCCCAGGGAUGGCCAGUCACUUGUGACCUACUUUCAGAGCUGGCAGUUCUGACUUCUAGAACAAACUCGGAACAAGCCCAUCUACAGCUGGUUGACUGAGUUUCCUUUGGGCUCCUGGCACCAGAAAGAAUUGCUCACUGGAAGGAUCAUAGGUGGCACUCAUGUCUCACUGCCCCACUCAGGCAACAUCAUGCACGCGGAUGAUCAACAGUCAGUUCCUGGUCAACAUAAGUAAACAAGCCUGUUUAAGAUAAAUUCCCCCACACUCCCUUGUACCUACUCCUUGCCCUCUGCCCCAGGGUUGUAGAACAGCUGCUUUCUGCUAUUCUCCCCCCAGGCUCUGCAGAACCUUCUGACCUUUCAGAAGGUUUGCAUCCUUUCCCUGUAGUUUUUCCACCGCUCUGACCAAUCCCCCACAAUGUAUAGCCUUGUAUGCAAAGCCAGGCCUGUCCAUGCAGGGUGACCAUCCAAGGUAGACAGUGGCAAAAUCUGGUGGAGGCAUCAGAGAUAGUGCCAUCAGUUUGCUGGAACAAGCAUAUCAAGGAGCCUGGCAGAUCUACACUUCACCAGACAGUGCCUGUAGCCAACAGGGCAGGCCCUUGCUCCAGGGAAACACUCAGAAAUCAAAACUCCUUGCUCUGCUGUCAGGGAACUCUCCAGGAGAUCCUCAGUGUCAUCAGAAGCUGGAAAAACAGUGCUGAGAAACGUGGCCUGCCGUCUUUCCAGCUAAGGGAGAUGGCCCGUUCGACCCUGGGUUGUCCUCUGCAAACGCGCUGCUGCAGGUUGCAUGGCACCAUCUCCUGAUUGCAAUUUGCUUUCCUGAGGGAGUGAACUGACUGAAAUUGGAUGGUAAUAAGUUGCUAGGUUAUUUUCCACUUUUUAGUUUAUGAGGCUUAUUCAUUUUGCUUUAACAUUAACCACUGCCUUCCUUUUAAGGAGCUGGUGAGGCAGUGCAUGGCAACAGGUUCAGGGUGAGGAGUGGCACCACCUCCUUUCAGUGAGGAUUUGGGAGGGGUGAAAAGCACCCUAAUCUUCUCAGCCGCAUGUGAACAAACCACCUGUCAAGGUGGGUCCUUCCUAUAGGGAGGUUGAUGUCAGCCCUUCAGGGAGGCCUCAGUUUUCUUCCUCCACUUCCUAAUCCCUUCAUUAUAAUUCCUUCCACAACAGAAUAAGUUUCUUGAGCAAUGCAGCAAUAUCCAGCAAUUUUAGAUAGACAUUUACCUUUUGACCUAGAAAUCUCACUUCUACGAAUCCAUCCUAAAGACACACUCUCAGCUGGAUGUGGUCGCUCAUGCCUGCGAUCCUAACACUCUGGGAGGCUAAAGUGGAAGAAUCUCUUGGGCUCAGGAGCUCAAGACCAGCCUGGGCAACAUAGCAAGACCCUAUCUCU